rnacentral:lncRNA from 1 species
AUCCCUUUGCCUUCAAGUACCCACCUCAGCCCAGGAAGCCCAUUCCUGCCCUGUAGAACAGUGGGCUAACAAUGCAAACUACACUUCCCAGAAGCCUUUACCCACUGCUUCCUGUUAGAUUCAGCCAAUGGAAGCACUUACAGGAAAUUAGAGGGUGGGUCGAGGAGGGGUGAAGCCAUAGUACUCGUAAUUCCUCCCUGUGUCCACAGGCUUUUCCAGCAUGGGCUUUAUCUCUUCUGGAAGUCUGUUCUCACCAAGCAGAUCAGCCCUCAAAGGCCCCAGCUCCUGGACCCUGGUAUACAUGUACAUAUAUCCCUUCUCUUUGCCCCUCCAACCCUUGUUGUGGUAAUAGCUUCCUGCAGUUGUCAAUGUCUGGAUUGCUUCACUUUCCUUGUUUUCAGAUCUUCUAAUACCUCUGUAACUUGCUUUUGUAUUAGACACCCAUGAUAAACCAUCCGGGCAUGAGCUGUCUUCCAGGCAGACUCUGACUGACAUAGUCAAAUCAGCUUCAUACAGCCUUUGUGACCCGUAUCUGAUGUCUCUCCUUGGUGUGCACGUUGACCAUGAGCUGAUUUGCUGCAAGCACUUUAGAAACUGCCUUUUGAACUGGAGGAGAGAGGCUUCAAAUUGCCUUUCUUCUUCAGUCUCACUGAUUUGAGGGUCUCUUUGUCCAGGGUCCAUUGAGGCAUGCCAGACAGAAACUGCUGAGAACAGGCAGGGGGUGUGCAGGCAGCUUGGUUCCUUGGAUUCUGAUGGUCUUUGAUGGAAGCUUUCAGGAAGAAAAACAAACACCUAAAGAGAAAACACACACGUGUUUGGUGGCAACCUCCAGAUAUCAAGACCUGGGUCACUGAAAGAGUCUUUUCAGGCUCAGCUGACAUGCCACCUAACAUCGGCCCCUGCCUGCCUUCUGUCCUUAGCCCGAUCUGGCACAAAACCAGCCCAAGGACUUCCAUAGGAACUGCUGCAUACGCUACACUUUACACAGAGUGGAAAUCAUCUGUUUUCCUGACCAGCUUCCUUGGCACACUAGCCAUCUCCUGGGCAGGGACAUCUUCUCGUGCUUCCUCAUUUGUGUCAGCACGUAAUGUAACCGGCUCUUAAUACAUGCUCCCACCAUCAGUGCAUAAGAGUUCCAAACGCUCC